rnacentral:lncRNA from 1 species
CUUCAUCUGUUUCAAAUGUAAUCAACUAAGUUCGUUAGAUUAGAGCAGAAUACAGUUCUAAAAAAUCCUGUUGAUAAAUUUCGAAUUAAAUUAAGGUACUAGAAAAUCUUGCAAGGUUCAUUAACGUUCAAAUGGAGGCAUCGGUUUUAUUGUUCCUAUUAAGACCGGAUAUGACUGCGUUUUUAUACAUCCCUCACAGCAAAACAGGCACCAACUUGACAAACGUUUCACGGCAAGUCGAAAGAAGAACGAA